UACAGAGGUCUCAAGCGUUGUUCGGAUUCAUUGGGCGUAAAGCGCGCGCAGGUGGUUUCUUAAGUCUGAUGUGAAAGCCCACGGCUCAACCGUGGAGGGUCAUUGGAAACUGGGGAACUUGAGUGCAGAAGAGGAAAGUGGAAUUCCUGGUGUAGCAGUGAAAUGCGUAGAUAUCAGGAGGAAUACCGAUGGCGAAGGCAGGUCUCUGGGCUAGAACUGACGCUCAUGCACGAAAGCGUGGGGAGCAAACAGG
rnacentral:rRNA from 1 species